AGGAGGUGAGCAGAAUACGUUGGUAACGUCAGAUUCGUGAUUUGACGCCCCAGCGUUUAAUCUUACUGGUUUUUGACAUGAAACAAUAACAAUCAUCCUUCUGUACCUGGUAAUUGAAGAUGGCAGAUAUCCUCAAGUACUGAUAUCAGUGACAUUAUCUUGACUUCAUCUUGGACUGUUGGUGAUCAAACCAGGAAUUUAGAAAAUACUUUAACUUUUAGUGUUCCGAGCAAAAGUGUCGGCUUGGAAGAUGUU